rnacentral:lncRNA from 13 species
CCAUCAUUAUUAACUUCGAGUAUACUGACAAGAGUUCCUGAAAUGGUAGGCUCUAGGCUGGAUACCAAGGAAACCAGGUGACAUACACUCUCCACCAACAGACAUAUUUGGCCCCCCUGGAGAGUCAUCCAUCAGGAAAAGAGAUCAGGCCAUCAAAGACAAUAACCCUGGCGGUGAAAAGAAAGAACACAGCCAUGCUUCGGGGAUAAAGAAGGGCGAACAUGCUACCACGCAGCAGAGCGCACAUGGCGCUCACGUGCCUAUCUGUUUUGGUUUUCAACUGAAGUGGUGUCCAGAACUACGUCCUAAUUUUGGAAGUUCGAAUGGGAAUAGAGCCCGCUCUUCCAUAUGUUGACUAGAGUGGAUGGGAAUAACAAGGAGAAAGUGUCAUUUUCAUUAUUUUAAGACUAUUAAUAGUUGGGACAGAAGAGAAUGGAUUUCUUUUUUAGCUGAGCAAACAGUAAUCUGUAUAACUGAUCAGAAAGUCACAGGUGUAACUUCCUUUAUGGUUUUCCUGUGGGGAAGGUCAAAUGAGGGGGAAGCACCCUUCAAUUUCACCCCUGACCACCUCCCAUCUUUGUCUUCAGGUGGUGAUUUCUUAGAAGAAUCUGUAGACAACGAUUCUCAAACAGAUACACUAGAAGAAUUUCUGCUUCCAUCUUCCAGUCUGUGAUCAAGGCUGGAGGGUGGUUUCUCCAGGAGAUCUUCUCUCAAGCACCACCGUGGCCCUCCGUGGCCCGAUGGCUGAAGCCUGGAGAAUGUGGUUAUGAAAACAGGUGUCUUGCAUCUUGCAGAUUUUGAAGCUAUGUCCUUUUUCCCAAGAGAACUUGGAGCAGAUCUUUGCAUUCAGACCCGAAUGAGGGGGAAUCCUAUUCAUACAUCUCAAAGGCAUGAAGAUUUCCGAACUUUUAAGCCGUGGCUCCAAGGCGUAGCCCAGUAAAGGGAGCAAGGCUGAAGCAGAGCAUCCCUCGGCCAGCAGCAGAGAGCAAGGGACGGAGAAUGUCAGCGAUUCCGCGAGAGGCCGCCAGGGGGCGAGCGACCACCGCUCGGCCGCGAGCUCCCCGCUCCCCUCGCUGCGCCCCAACCGCCAGCAAAGGGCGCGCGCCUGGCGCUGAGCCUAACCGCUGCCUCCAACCGGACAGGACAGAACCGGGCGGGACGGGACAGAGGUUUGGGUCCAAGCCCAGCUGUGUUUGCGGCGGGUCCGGGGCCCGGAAACCGCUGGAGCGUCCCCAAGAACGAAAGUGGGAAAUGGUCUUCGCGGUUAAAGCCCCAGUCCUCGGGGAGCAGACCUCCGCUCUGUGGCAGUGCCGUGCGCCUGGGAGCUGCGUGGAACAUUCCGCAACGGUCACUCCCGGGCCCUGCAUUGGUCUUGACCACAGGACCCGGAGGCACAGGGAGAAGCCUCCCCUGGAUGCUGGCGAGUUGACUUCAGUGGCUGAGACUGUCCGGGAGAGCCGGGAGCACCGCAUGCUUCCAGCAGAUGGUGGGCAGGCCUGUGCGCAUGAGCACCUGUGUCCCUGAAGAGGAUCUCCGUGGCGCUACCUGGCCCAGGCAGGUCACCGAGGGCUCCUCAGCCCUGAGCGCAAGAGGGUGCACCAAGGACAAGAUUCAGCACCGUCACGCCAGAACAGCUACACGGAGCCACAGGUCACUUUCCAAAAAGGCAGUUUCCAGGCCAGAAGCCACCCCUGCAGCACUGCCUUAUGCUCCAAGAGAAGGCCCACCACACAGCUCUGCUCAGAUGGAACCACUGUUCCCUCAGCGUCCUUGUCAGCACCAGGUGACUUUCCGACCCAACCCCUCCCUCGCUCUCUGCCUCGUUUUGCAAAGGUGCUGUGUUUGCCUGAAAGGACAUUUGCAGCCAGCAGUGGUGGCAGCUGGUCCUUAGGAUGGGCACGAAUGCCAUUGUCAAGCAACGGGGACAGACUCCGUGGAAAGGUGCUUCCCUUCCUCCAG